ensembl:lncRNA
AAUUUUUUCCCCUUUUAAAGGGGGAGGAGGGAGGAGAGGGAGGGUGUGUGGGGGGUGUCAUUUCCUUCCUAUAGGAUUUUUUAUUAGUUUAUUUUAACUGUUUUUCUUUCCCUCUGCUGGUUUACUGCCUUGUAUCUAUCUACCCCUCAGGAGUUUAAAAGCCUCAACAACUUCUUUUGGCCCGAUCAGAGGAAAAUAUUCUGAACUUUAACAUCACUGGUUUGAAUCUGCAAUUCGGGCUGUGCUGUAAGAUCAUGUAAAGCUGAGGUGGUACCAGACAGACGUGGCACAGCUAUGCUGCUUUCUAAAAUACUGCGUGCUUCAGAGAGGAAACCUCGUUGUAGCUGAGAGGGCAAAAAGAAAGAACGAUUCCAAUCCUUGAACCUGUCUUCUCUUCACAUCAAUGCGAAGACUCCUCAAGGAAACUUUAAGACAACUGGGAGUUUUGCUGACAACUCUGAAGGGUUCAUACACACACUAUCUGAAACAAUGCCAGAAAACUCUGAAUGUGCUGCUUCUGGGGGGGUCGUUUUACUUAGCUGCAAAAGCCUUUAACCUUAGCGCAGUAUCACUGACGUGACAAUGAUUAACGUUUCACCUUCUUAAAAAGCCCAACAAUUGGGAUUAUUAUUAACAAGCAAAUUAUUCCUUUUAUUUUUCUUUUUUUCUCUCUCUGGGCCUUUUUUAUUUUUAUUUUUUUAAAUUAUUAUUAUUUAUUUCCCAGAGUUGUUUCAUUGGCUGCAAUCCUGGCUAGCAUUCCCCUUGAACUCUUCAUAAAUUGCCACAUAACCACGUGCAGGCUCAAGCAUGAUGUUUAGGAGGCUUGUAUGAUCAAGCCUGCUGAGCACUGAAUUGCAUAGCCAGUCCUUAAGAGGAAAGGCUGUUCAUAUAAAUAAUUUAUUCACCCUACCAUUUGCAGUGAUUUUUUUUUUUUUCAUUAUCAACACAAGAAUAUCUCCUGUGGUUUCAGAUCUCUUCACCUCCUUCUGCUGCACCCACAGUGGUAGGUAUGGGACUGUAAUACAACAGUGAGAGCAGAACAGCAACCCAACGGACUGCCAGAUUAACCUGUUCAAGUAGGCCAGGUCACUGCUGCUCACAGCCUCAUCUGUCUCCCAUUGUUAUACUGUGCUGAAUCCCAAAGAGCACUGGGUGCCUUCUGUCACAUGAAAGCCACAAAAUACUGUUUCAGCAAUGGGAACUGAGCUCCCUGAAUAGCUCCCAGGUAUCGACCUGGAGUAUAGUCUCUGAAUGUCUACUAACACAGAGGUGACAAAAGACCUUAUUAAAAGAAGGCUUCAAUUACUGAAUAAAUAUUUCAUCCAUUUUACUCAUUAACAAAGGAAGUUUUUAAGCAAUUAUUAAUUACACCAUGAUAGGGUAUUUUUAUUCUGCCUUCUUCAAACACUGUGUAGUUGAACCCUGUGAAUUAAGAGCCUAUUUCUGAUCCAUCUGUGUUCUUCAAUGGUAGCUAAAGGGAAGAAGUAGCUUUAGGCAUGACCUUUGAAAUUUAAGUGAGCAGCUAACACGACCUACAGAAUCACAGGUCUGUCCAGAUUGUCAGUAGAUAUCUGUCCCUUCAGUUCUCUCAGCAUUCAAAACAGGUGAACUUGGCACCUCGCUUGAGGCCAGGAGGAGCAGCUUGCUUUUGAUGAAUGGUGUGUGAUCUAAUGAACAACUUUGUUCUCAAAGUCCCUUGCGCCUCUUUGGGUCCGUCCUAUCUGAAGUCCUCAAAACAUUUGUUUCUGGAGCAGCUAACAUGUUUAGAAAUCAGCCAUAUAAGAAAACUUUGUGUGAGACACAGUUUAAGAAACAAAAGUUUUUAAGCAGAUGUUGCAGUUUUGGAGUAGCUGACGCACAGUUUUGUUUUUAAUAGAUUUACUGACUGAAACAAUCUUUAAUUAGAUGGUUUUAAUUAGAAUUCACUUCCAUAAGUUAUAAGCCACAAAGCCAGAUUCCACAUUAACUAAAAAUAUCAGCAUUUCUGUUUUAGAGAACAUUUGUGUUACCUGGUUACUGGAAUUAAGUUAAUCCAACCGUCUUUUCUUCUGUGUAACAAUCUGAGGCUUCUAAUUUGCAUAGAUAAGGCAUCAGAGAGAGCAUGGAGGAAAACCUUGGACAAAAUCACAAUCAUCAGUGGGAUUAUAUGAUUGCUAACCCUGAGCCCUUGUUCUGAGCUGGCUUUGCAACUGAGAAUGAAGCUAAACACAAAUGGUUAAAUUCACACAACAAACACCCAUAUGUUUUGUUUUGCGCUGUCUAUAUCUAUUCAUCAAAAAACCUUCCAUUUAGGGAAGGUGUUCUUACACUGAAAAAUGUUCAGUUCAUUGGCUUAUUCUCUGUAAGAAUUAAUAAACCCCUGAAAAAUUGCUGUGCGCAACAGCUUUAAUAGCUCUGUCCGGCUGCUUCCCAGUCUCUACCCCUUGAAAAUAAAACAAAUUCUAACUAUAAAUCAAGGCCGCUGAAAAUGAAGGCCAGUCGCACAUCACAGAGAAUGGUUUUAUAGGUGGAACGUGGGCUUGCUAAUUUCUAGAAUAAAUUAUUGUGUUUUACUGGAUGCAGUUCCAUUUACACACUUUCUGUCACGGAGACUUAAAAACAAAAUCAUAAUCCCUGCAAAAGGCUGGUUUUAAUAUGCUUAAUUCUUUUCCAGGCAUUUCUCAGUAUAAAACAUUUAGCUGACAAUGUGCCAGGAAAUCCCUUUCAUUAAAAUAAACACUGAUGCACACGUUGUGUAGCUAUCUCAC